GAUGAAGAACGUAGCGAAAUGCGAUAAGUAGUGUGAAUUGCAGAAUUCAGUGAAUCAUCGAAUCUUUGAACGCACAUUGCGCCCCUUGGUAUUCCAUGGGGCAUGCCUGUUCGAGCGUCAUUUGUACCCUCAAGCUUUGCUUGGUGUUGGGCGUCUUGUCUUGUAUUAGGCUCGCCUUAAAGUCAUUGGCAGCCAGUGUUUUUGGUAGUAAGCGCAGCACAUUUUGCGUCUUAGUCCUUGAAUCGUGGCAUCCAUGAAGCCUUUUUUCACUUUUGACCUCGGAUCAGGUAGGGAUACCCGCUGAACUUAAGCAUAUCAAUAAGCGGAGGA
rnacentral:misc_RNA from 1 species